CUGUAACCACGGCGGAGCGCACGAUCGUCUCCUCUCGUGGCUGGCGGGUGACGCACGGAAUAGAGUAGCGGUAAGGAGAGGAAGAGAAUAGGUUUAGCGGUAAGGAGGAGUAGGAUUGGGUCGAGACUACGAGAAGGAGAAGAGGCAGGUUGGGUCGGUCUUAUCGCUGUGCACGCGCCCCGGUGCCACCGACCGGUCCUUCGUGGGGGAUUAGUCGUUCCUUGGGUCUCCUGCAGCACCGACCGCGGAACCUCGACGAGACGGCAGCCGGACUAGACCGGCAGGCGGCGUCAGCGGCCGGGGCACGAGGCCUAGUCCGGUCGUCGGAGCGGAGGCUGGGCUAAGCUUGACGUGUCGGAAGCGGUGGACGCGGUACGGGGUCUCCAAGCCGACUAGGGCGCAGCGAGUAAGAGGGAAGAAAGAGCCGAGCGCCGAGCGCAACUGACGCUCUCCGGUAUCCGGAGCAGGUCGGCGUAGGAGAGUGACGGAACGAGGAGGUGGUGGUGAGGAGGGGAAGAAGGGGGGAAGGACGAUCGGUCCCGUGAGAGGGAGAGGGCGGAGGGAAGCGGCGUCCUGAGGUACUCCUCACGCGCCUACGCCCACAGAACCGGUCGUCGUUGUCGACGCCGUCAAGGCGCAGCCCUCUUCGGAGCGUGACUCGCUACACCUCCUGCUACUGGAUGACGAAGGAGUCAGCGCGCAGGAGGAGGCGCAGCACCUCUCUGCUGGUACACCGGCCGGCUACGGGCUCGCAGCGGCCGGUUCCUGGGCGGCCGUAGGUCUGGGGGUGGUGCGGUAAGGGUAGAGCGGAUCUGGACGUGUUCAGGGUAGGUCACGGGCGCGGUAAGAAGCCGGGGGCUGGGUGUCGAGACGUCGGGCUAGAGAAGUCGGCGGAGCGCAGGUUUCGUCUCCUCUCCUCGAGGGACGCUGCUCGGAGAGGUCGCGGGUUGUUUGGUCGUCCGGCAGGGUCGGAGGAAGAGCGAAGCUGUACUUGCGUGCCGGCAGCGCUGCCGAGCGGCGUAAGGACCGGAGCCCACCGCGCCUGCGGGCGACGCUGCGUAGUGGGGAAGGAACCGAGGACGCCGUACCUACGGUUACCGUUCGCCGUCGCGAACGGCCCGCCACCUCUUGCGUUUACCUAUUCGCCACGUCCCCACCAAAAACGUUUUUGCUUCGCAAAAGAGCCUAUGGGUGAAUUUUAUCCUGACACCCAACUUAAGAGUCUUUGACUCCCUGAAAAGACUUUUUCACGGCUGCUGCCUGCUGUCUUUGG
rnacentral:rRNA from 1 species